rfam:Pelodiscus sinensis unplaced genomic scaffold scaffold115, whole genome shotgun sequence.
AGACUGGUGCCUCUAGGCACCACAAUAAUACAAAUAAUAAAUAAUU